rnacentral:rRNA from 1 species
AGAGUUUGAUCCUGGCUCAGGACGAACGCUGGCGGCGUGCCUAACACAUGCAAGUCGAGCGGAGACAGUGAGUAGCUUGCUACGAACUGUUUUAGCGGCGGACGGGUGAGUAACGCGUGAGCAACCUUUCCCAGACAGGGGAAUAACACACCGAAAGGUGUACUAAUACCGCAUAAGACCACGGGAUCACAUGGUUCUGAGGUAAAAGAUUUAUCGGUUUGGGGUGGGCUCGCGUCCGAUUAGGUAGUUGGUGAGGUAACGGCCCACCAAGCCGACGAUCGGUAGCCGACCUGAGAGGGUGAUCGGCCACAUUGGGACUGAGACACGGCCCAAACUCCUACGGGAGGCAGCAGUGGGGAAUAUUGGGCAAUGGGGGGAACCCUGACCCAGCAACGCCGCGUGGAGGAAGAAGGUUUUCGGAUCGUAAACUCCUGUCCUUGGAGACGAGUAGAAGACGGUAUCCAAGGAGGAAGCCCCGGCUAACUACGCGCCAGCAGCCGCGGUAAUACGUAGGGGGCAAGCGUUGUCCGGAAUAAUUGGGCGUAAAGGGCGCGUAGGCGGCUCGGUAAGUCUGGAGUGAAAGUCCUGCUUUUAAGGUGGGAAUUGCUUUGGAUACUGUCGGGCUUGAGUGCAGGAGAGGUUAGUGGAAUUCCCAGUGUAGCGGUGAAAUGCGUAGAGAUUGGGAGGAACACCAGUGGCGAAGGCGACUAACCGGACUGUAACUGACGCUGAGGCGCGAAAGUGUGGGGAGCAAACAGGAUUAGAUACCCUGGUAGUCCGCACGGUAAACGAUGGAUGCCCGCUGUUGGUCUGAAUAGGUCAGCGGCCAAGCGAAAGCAUUAAGCAUCCCACCUGGGGAGUACGCCGGCAACGGUGAAACUCAAAGGAAUUGACGGGGGCCCGCACAAGCGGAGGAACAUGUGGUUUAAUUCGAUGAUACGCGAGGAACCUUACCCGGGCUUGAAUUGCAGAGGAAGGAUUUGGAGACAAUGACGCCCUUCGGGGCCUCUGUGAAGGUGCUGCAUGGUUGUCGUCAGCUCGUGCCGUGAGGUGUCGGCUUAAGUGCCAUAACGAGCGCAACCCCUCUCCUUAGUUGCCAUCAGGUCAAGCUGGGCACUCUGGGGACACUGCCACCGUAAGGUGUGAGGAAGGUGGGGAUGACGUCAAAUCAGCACGGCCCUUACGUCCGGGGCUACACACGUGUUACAAUGGCAGGUACAGAGAGAUGGUGUUCUGCAAAGCGCAUCUAAUCCUUAAAGCCUGUCUCAGUUCGGACUGGGGUCUGCAACCCGACCCCACGAAGCUGGAUUCGCUAGUAAUCGCGCAUCAGCCAUGGCGCGGUGAAUACGUUCCCGGGCCUUGCACUCACCGCCCGUCA